rnacentral:siRNA from 1 species
CAAGAACAAAGUGCCUAUGAAG